CUCUUCUCACAGGAAAUUAAAAGAUCAAUGUUCCCAGAGACCUUUCAGUGUUAGGGUGCACAUGUACAACAUAUUUGUGAUGACAUAUUCUGCUGCAGGGGCAGUAGAACACCACUGUGGUAUAGGGUAUUGAAUGACCAUAAAAUGCACAUCGGCUUCUCUCAAGACUGGCAUUACAGAUGCCCAUAAGUCUGCUAUUGAAAAUCACAUCUGAAGAAUGAAUAUUGGUUUUGUAAUAGUUCCUCACAGCAGCAUAUAGAAUAGCAUAUUUUAAAGAAAGGGAAAACCAUAUUUCUCAUAUGAUUUUAUAUAGGAGUAUAUAGAAAGCAGCUGGCAGCAAGUAAAACUGUUUUCUUUGGAAAUAAGGAAAAGGUUUUCCAAGCUUAAUUAUAUUAACAAUCUGUUACUAAGGAAAAUACUAUCUUUAUAAAUAGCAAUUGUGAGCUUAUUGCUGUCUUUAAAAAAUCUGUGCACUGUGCUUGCUUUACCACUUUUAAGAGGUCCUUUGCACAAAGGUUUGCUGGGCAGGUAAUUGGAACAAGGUUUCCAUUAUGAAACACAGAUCUGUUUGUUAAAUUAUGUGCAAGAAAUGCUUGAAAUGAUUAACGUGAGCCAGACUUUCAUCCUCCCUCUAAAAGCAGCCCAUUUACACGAGUGAUUAUGUAACAGUCAUAAAAUUUCAGCAUCUCUCCAGCAUCUUAUGGCAGGAUCAACACGUUGAUUGUUGACAACUGUAAACACCUGUAUUUGCAUUCCUGUUUGAAUGCUUCCAGCUUCUUUGCCUUCUCUCCCCGUUCUGAGGCAAGUUCUACAGUCCCACUUCUUGCCUGCUCCGCAUCAUGUCAGUUUUUUUCAUCAGAGCGGAUUUCUUUGCAAGACGUGAGUCAGCAAGGAAUGUAGCUGACGGCAUUGCCGGAAUGGGUCACGCAGAGAUGUGCCUCUGCAGUGACGCAGACUUUGCUCAUACAGGAAUCAGCAAAGGUUUUUACAUCAACUCUACAGCAGGUGGCAACGUAUCACGCUGCUCUGCUCGUGAACUGUAUUAAAAGAAACAAACACCUAUAGUGUGCAGCAGUCUGUAGAAUUCAGUCAUGAACACCAAUCAAUGAGACCAGCAGCUCAACAGAAUGAGACAUGACUCUUUUCUUAUAGCAAUUUCAGCAUUGUCCUCAUGACCGUGCUCACAACCUAUGCAGGAACCAGACUACAAAUACUAGUUCAGUUUUGAAAGCCCAGUAGGAUCUGUGUGUCCAGACAAGCCAGUGGCU